UACGAAGGGGGCUAGCGUUGCUCGGAAUCACUGGGCGUAAAGCGCACGUAGGCGGACUCUUAAGUCGGUGGUGAAAUCCUGGAGCUCAACUCCAGGACUGCCUUCGAUACUGGGAGUCUCGAGUUCGGGAGAGGUGAGUGGAACUGCGAGUGUAGAGGUGAAAUUCGUAGAUAUUCGCAAGAACACCAGUGGCGAAGGCGGCUCACUGGCCCGAUACUGACGCUGAGGUGCGAAAGCGUGGGGAGCGAACAGG
rnacentral:rRNA from 1 species